rnacentral:rRNA from 1 species
GGAUACCCGAGGGAAACUUCGGUUAAUACGGUAUAAGACCACACUACCGCAUGGUAGAGGGGUAAAAGGGGCAACCUGGUAUGAGAUGGACUCGCGUCGCAUUAGCUAGUUGGUGAGGUAACGGCCCACCAAGGCGACGAUGCGUAGCCGACCUGAGAGGGUGAUCGGCCACAUUGGGACUGAGAUACGGCCCAGACUCCUACGGGAGGCAGCAGUGGGGAAUAUUGGGCAAUGGAGGAAACUCUGACCCAGCAAUGCCGCGUGAAUGAAGAAGGUCUUCGGAUUGUAAAGUUCUUUAGUCAGGGAAGAAGUCAAUGACGGUACCUGAAGAAUAAGCUCCGGCUAACUACGUGCCAGCAGCCGCGGUAAUACGUAGGGAGCAAGCGUUGUUCGGAAUGACUGGGCGUAAAGGGUGCGUAGGCGGUUGUACAAGUUAGAAGUGAAAUACCCAGGGCUUAACUCGGGUGCUGCUUCUAAAACUGUAUGACUUGAGUGCAGUAGAGGUUAGUGGAAUUCCUAGUGUAGCGGUGGAAUGCGUAGAUAUUAGGAGGAACACCAGAGGCGAAGGCGGCUAACUGGACUGCAACUGACGCUGAGGCACGGAAGUGUGGGGAGCAAACAGGAUUAGAUACCCUGGUAGUCCACACUGUAAACGAUGGAUAAUAGAUGUAGGAGGUAUCGACUCCUUCUGCGUCGCA